rnacentral:ncRNA from 1 species
GCGAAGGGGCUAGGCCGCGACGAGUAGGAGGGCCACUGCCGUGCGCCUCGAAGCCUGGGGUGCGGGCCCGGGUGGGGCCACCACAGGUGCAGAUCUUGGUGGUAGUAGCAAGUAUUCAAAUGAGAGCUUUGAAGGACGAAGUGGAGCAGGGUUCCAUGUGAACAGCAGUUGAACAUGAGUCAGUCGGUCCUAAGCGACAGGCAAGCGCCGUUCCAUAAAGGGCGGGCGAUGGCCUCUGUUGCCCUCGGCCGAUCGAAAGUCAGGUUCAGAUCCUCGAAUCCGGUUUGACCUUAUGAGGAGCGAUUGAGGGAGCUGGAUCUGUUCAGUUUGACAGAGAGGAGGCUGAGGGGGAACCUCAUCAUGCUCUACAGUUACUUGAAAGGACAUUGCAGAGAGGUUGGUGCUGGUCUCUUCUCACAGGUAAUUUGGGACAGAACCAAGGGGAAUGGUUGCAAGUUGCAACAGGGCAAGUUUAGGCUGGACAUUAGGAAGAAAUUCUUC